rnacentral:ncRNA from 2 species
UAAUAACAAUUUUAACAAGGUUGCCUUCAGAAAUUUUCCGGGGAAUCAGGUGACAAUCCUGAGCGGUCUCCGCCACUGUAACCGGGGAGGGCCCUUGCAUAUGCCACUUAUUUUGCGCAAAUAGGGAAGGCGCAAGGAACUCUGAAGAUCCGGGAGCCAGGAUACCCGACUGGAGGUGAACACAAUA